UACGAAGGGGGCUAGCGUUGCUCGGAAUUACUGGGCGUAAAGGGCGCGUAGGCGGCACUGUUAGUCAGGCGUGAAAGUCCUGGGCUCAACCUGGGAACUGCGCUUGAUACGGCAGAGCUAGAGGAUGGAAGAGGCUCGCGGAAUUCCCAGUGUAGAGGUGAAAUUCGUAGAUAUUGGGAGGAACACCGGUGGCGAAGGCGGCGACCUGGGUAGAUACUGACGCUGAGGUGCGAAAGCGUGGGGAGCAAACAGG
rnacentral:rRNA from 1 species